AAAUUAUGUUGUCAAAUUUGUGAUAUUGUAUUUAAACCAAUUUAAAGGAUGCCUAUAGAUAAUCUAUUAGUUCAGAUUUUACACAUUACACAAAUGUAUCUGAAAUUUGAGAAAGGAAUAAAAACAUCAUUGUUUCAGAGUUUGCGAAAUCUUUUUUUACCUGGUGGUCCUUGAAGAAAAUCUGCUGGUCCUCACUAUUAACUCUAUUGAAAAAUACUAAAAUUGUGUCAGUCCUAUGCAAAAUUUUGAUGGUAAAAUCCUGAGGACCACCACUUUUCGCGAACUCUGAUUGUUUUCAUUUUUCUGUAGGUCUAUAAAUCUGCAGGUCUUAAAUAACCUUAAUACUGAUUUAAGGAUUUCAAUUCAAAUUAAAAAUUAAAGGGUCAAAUAGCAUAUUCCAC
rnacentral:lncRNA from 1 species